UAUUUUUUCUAAGUUUACACGAUUACCCUCAAAUCGGACGAUGUAUACCAGAAAACACAUCACGUACAAGAAAUUCUGCAUAAUGAUCAAGCCAUUCAAGUCUUCAAUCUUCGUCCCUGCCACACUGAUAACAUCACAGGUCUCGUUGGUGGCGUCGGAGGUUUGGGGUUCCGUUACAGGUCUUGUUGGUGGCGUCGGAGCCUCGGAGCCUCGGAUGUGUGCGAGCGGCUGAGCGCCGGAGGACGGAGGACCUUCACUUCACUCUUCAGUCGUCUACUCGUCUUCAGUGGGAUGCGCCAAUGGGGAAUGCGAGACUGCGAGUACCAAGUACCUCUUCUUCGAAGGGGAAGGAGCUGACGCGGUAGCGGCCCAUCACACACACGCCUUGUAUUCCGCAUUAUGAGAUCCUCCUGAGAAUUUGUACUCUGACUUUAUUAUGUUUUUAUGAAAUGUUUUUCAAGACAUGCGAUAACUUUUAUGAAAUGAUAUGAUCAGUGAAGUUGGCAUAUGUUAAGUCAUAAUUUCCUUUUCA